ensembl:lncRNA
UAGAACUGCAAGCAGUUAUGCAGGGGUCCAAGAAGUGUGCAUUUCGCCGGCACAACGCGAAGCAAGUAUUCAAAACGCUACCGUGAACAACAUGUGGAUAUAAAGGUUUUGACUGUGGGAGCUUCGGUGUGGGAGUUAUAGCCUAAAACGCGUUUUCAGAACAUUCCAUAGGCCAAAUAGGAGAUAGACAAUGUCGUCGUUUUUUGGCGCCGCCCUGUUGGCGAAAUUUUCCCAAGACAAUUUUCCUUUGCCAAAAACUCCCGCCCACAUUAAUAAUUCUUGGCCAUAUUUUCUAUAUAGAUUCGGGUUUGCCCCUUGAUGGUUUCCCUUGAGUUUGAAGAACAUUCCUUUGGCCAAUUAGAAGAUAUACAAUUUCCUCGUUUAUUGCGCCCCCUAAUGGCGAAAUUUUCCGACAUUUUUAUCGAACGUCAUUAAGGUUAGCACCAACAUGUUUGUAGAAUUUGGACUCGAUCCGAUGUCUAAUUUUGGAUUUUUUUGGAUUUUUAAUUUUCCACGUCUAAUUUAGCUCAUAAACCAAUAUUCAAAACGCUACCGUUUCGUCGUCGAAGGUCCGAUCAAAAAAGUGUCUAUCAUUUCUAUGCGUGUGCGUCUGAAGAUGCCGUGUGCAAAGUUUGGUGUCGAUUGGUCAAGAAAUGUGGGAGCAGUAGGGAAAAAACAGUUUUGCGGUUUUCGCGAUUUUGCGAAAAAAAAUUCCAGACGCAAAUGGGCGUGGCCUAUGCCAAAAGAUGCAGCAGACUCCAGUGAAUAUGUGCGUACAAGUUUUUGGACUGUGGGAGGUUCGGUGUGGGAGUUAUAGCCCCAAACGCGUAUUCCUUGGUAUAGCGCCACCUAGUGUUCGGCGUGUCUGGAUUUUGUCGUCUGCUUUUGCGGUUUCGCGAUUUUGCGAAAAAAAAU